rnacentral:lncRNA from 1 species
GUAAAAUUUAUUUUUGUUUCAAAUAUCGAAAAACUUGGCAUGAAUAAAGUUUUAUGCUGUCCUGCACUAUAGACACAAUUUCACUAGAACUCUAUUGCAUAUCAGAAAAUACCCAUCACUGGAAGUUAACCAAUCAAAUAUUCACCCUUUUUUCCAUUGUAGUAACAACGUAACCUCAAGUUACUAAAAAUUUCUAGAGGAACACCAAACAAAAAAUAACAGUGUUCAUAAACAUUCUAUGUAUAUGUUUAUGACUUAGCUAAAUUUU